ACGAACGCUGGCGGCGUGCUUAACACAUGCAAGUCGAACGGAAAGGCCCUGCUUUUGUGGGGUGCUCGCGUGGCGAACGGGGGAGUAACACGUGAGUAACCUGCCCUUGACUUUGGGAUAACUUCGGGAAACUGGGGCUAAUACCGGAUAGGAGCUCCUGCUGCAUGGUGGGGGUUGGAAAGUUUCGGCGGUUGGGGAUGGACUCGCGGCUUAUCAGCUUGUUGGUGGGGUAGUGGCUUACCAAGGCUUUGACGGGUAGCCGGCCUGAGAGGGUGACCGGCCACAUUGGGACUGAGAUACGGCCCAGACUCCUACGGGAGGCAGCAGUGGGGAAUAUUGCACAAUGGGCGGAAGCCUGAUGCAGCAACGCCGCGUGCGGGAUGACGGCCUUCGGGUUGUAAACCGCUUUCGCCUGUGACGAAGCGUGAGUGACGGUAAUGGGUAAAGAAGCACCGGCUAACUACGUG
rnacentral:rRNA from 1 species